rnacentral:rRNA from 1 species
UGAGCAAUCUGCCCUUCACAUCGGAAUAACCAUUGGAAACGAUGGCUAAUACCGGAUAUGACCUUGGGAUGCAUGUCCUUUGGUGGAAAGCUUUUGCGGUGUGGGAUGGGCCCGAGGCCUAUCAGCUUGUUGGUGGGGUUAAGGCCUACCAAGGCGACGACGGGUAGCCGGCCUGAGAGGGCGACCGGCCACACUGGGACUGAGACACGGCCCAGACUCCUACGGGAGCAGNAGGUAGGG